rnacentral:rRNA from 1 species
GACGAACGCUGGCGGCGUGCUUAACACAUGCAAGUCGAACGGAAAGGCCUGCUUUCCCUUGUGGAUUGCGGGUACUCGAGUGGCGAACGGGUGAGUAACACGUGAGUGAUCUGCCCCCAACUUGGGUAUAAGCCUGGGAAACUGGGUCUAAUUCCCGAUAGGACUGCAGGGUGGUGCCUGUGGUGGAAAACGAUUUUCUAGUGGUUGGGGAUGAGCUCGCGGCCUAUCAGCUUGUUGGUGGGGUAAUGGCCUACCAAGGCGGCGACGGGUAGCCGGCCUGAGAGGGUGGACGGCCACAUUGGGACUGAGAUACGGCCCAGACUCCUACGGGAGGCAGCAGUGGGGAAUAGUGCACAAUGGGCGGAAGCCUGAUGCAGCGACGCCGCGUGGGGGAUGACGGCCUUCGGGUUGGAAACUCCUUUCGACCGCGAGGAAGCCACCUGGUUGGAAGGGUGGUGACGGUAGUGGUAGAAGAAACACCGGCUAAGUACGU